UCCCCGUUCACUCUGUCACUGUCUCUGUGGAGCGGCUCGCUGCAAUCGCUUUCUUCUUUACCAUUCUACUUUCGGCGACGGUAGCCUACGACGUAUCUUCCGAUCUAAUGUACGGCGGCGACAGCGAGGACGAAGAUCUUGUGAUCCUUGAAGUCGUCUCCUUACCGCUUAGCAAAAAACUUCCAGAACUCCGAACUCAAGUUCGGAAAGGCCUACGCCAUUGAUGAGGAGCACGAUUACAGGUUCCGUGUAUUCAAGGCUUACCUCCGUAGAGCCAAGCACCAGCAGGAGCUCGAUCCUGGCGCCGUCCAUGGCGUCACGUGGUUAUCCGAUCUCACCGAGUCCUAGUUCCGUACACAUUUCGUCGGAGUGAAUCGGCUCCGUCUUUCUGCCGAUUCUCAGAAGGUUCCGAUCCUUCCUAUUGGCGACCUAGCCUCCUACUUCGAUUGACGUUACCACGGUUCCGUCCCGCUGGUCAAAGAGCAGGAUUCACGUGGCUUGCGCUGGUCUUUGAGUGAGUAACAGCUUGUUGAUUCAUGAGUGUGAUCCUGAGGAAGCUGGUGCAUGCGACGCGAUGGGGGACUGAUGAACUCAUCUUUUGAGUACUUUUUUUAAAGCUGGUGGAUUGGAGCGACAGGAGGACUAUCCUUCCACUGGGAGGUAUCGUGGCCCUUGCAAAUUCCAAAGCGGCAUAAAGAUGCCGACCAAAGUGCAGCAAACUUGAUCAAGAAUGGCCCUUCAGCUUAGUAAUGAAAUUCUUCUCCAUUAUUAUCAUCAAUUUUUAAAUGCGUUAUUUGAUUUCUCAACCUGCUUUAAACCUCAUUGGUGAUGUGAAAAACUGAAGCUAAUGAUUUGGGCCUUUUCUUUAACGUAGACAUUGUUUGUUAACCAUUUCCUUUUUAGUUUUCUACUUUAUCUUAGACCGCUGCUGUUGGAGUCGAUGCAAUUUUCCUGCAGACCAACGUAAGAGGAAUUUCAUGCGUGGGUGAAAACUGGGGAGAAAAUGGCUACUACUUAAUCUGCAAGGGCAACAAUACCUGUGGAUCUGAGUCGAUGGUCUCGUCUGUGGCUGCUACCCCAAACUAAGCCAUUGUUAGUGCCAUUAUAUUAAGGUAACUUGCUCGGACUCUGUAAGUAUGUUUAUAUUAUGGGAAAUGGGUUGUUACAUCAAAUGUUUAUAAAUGGGUUAUUGCUAGUUAUUGUUGUAUAAUAUGUAUGUUGCAAUAAUGUUGCACUCUGUGGUCAAUUAUCAAUUGAUCAUGAGCCUCUGGAAGCAAGUAUGUUGAUUGAGUUGGGUCUUUUAGAUUUGGGUUUUUCGUCUUUAUUUUUUAUUUCCUUUCCAGUUUUUGAGUGGACCUUACCCUAUGCUCCUGCCAAUUCUCUUGGCGAAAGUUGUCCUAAUGCCAUGGGUAUAGGGGCAGGGGGAGACCUUUUGACUAAUGUACUGUUAGUUGAAAGUCUUAUUCCUUUUCUAAUCCCCUCGAGAUUCCGAAUACUCUAGAAAAAAGAAAAAAGAAAGUUGGGGUGGGACACAAUGAGGUAGAAUGAGAGCUAAAAAAGCUUGAAUGCUCAGUCAAUUAUGGGAGGAAAAAAAAAAAAGCUUCAAGAGAAGCUGAGAACUAUGUGGUCCAAUGUUGAAAAUCGUCUCUUUGAUCGUGAGAGUGUUGAGGAGAGGGAGGAGACUUAAAAGGAGAUUGGUUAUAAGGAAGUUGUUCCUCAAGAGAACUCGAAUAUUGUUAUUUGGAUGGAGACUAAACAUAGCCUGUUUUGUUGUCAAUUCCUUUGAAAGUACAUGGGAGAAAAGGUAAGUGGAGUUGGAGAGAAUUGACUUCGAAGGGAAUCAUGGGGGUAUUUAUUUCGUAGAAUAGCGUUUCUUUGUUUGCUAGUGAAGUGGAAAAAGAAUUUUUUUAGUUAUGAUUUCUUUUGUCUUUUUUUCUUUAUUUGGAAAAGAAGGGUUUUGGGCACAAACGGAGGAUGUGGAUGUGAAAUUGUAUGAGAAACGUGAGUUAUUCUUUCCUCGUUAAUGGUAGUUAUAGAGGUAAAGUUUUGGUGUGGAGAGGCUUAGACAUGGAGAUCCUGUAACCCCUUUUCUUGCUUGUUCUUGCUUGUUGUGAGUGUUCUAAGCACGCUUGUUACUAUAAGUAUUGUUGGAAAAAUCAUUGAGCACUUUGAGUUUGAAAAGGAGAACACGCCUAUUUGCCACCUUCAAUUUGUAGGUAAUACUAUUUUAUUUUAUUUUAUUUUAUUUUAUUUUUUGCUCUGAAAAUUUAGUUAUGUUCUUAGAUCUUGAAUCAUAUCUUAACGUUCUUUAUGGGACUUAAUUGCAAUGAUGAGAAACUUAGGAGUUGGGCAUAAGUUAGUUGUUAAGUUGGAUCAUUUUCCUUCUCGUAGUUGGGUCUCCCUCUUGGAAGUAAUUUCAAAUUCACCACAUUGAAAUUCGGUGGUAGACAAAGUUAGAAAAAGAGUAGGCUCUUAAAAGAAAUAUUUUCUAACUUCGAUUCAUUUUGUUUUGAUUUGUAUCCCUAUUAUUAGUUCUCCCUUUUUAGAUAUCUGUGCACAGUUUGCACGAAUAUUUAGAAGUUUAUCCACAAUUUCUUUGAAAAUGGUAGAAAGUGAGAAAAGGGUCUACCUUGGUUAGGUGGGAGGUUAGUUAACUGGGGAGAGGGUUAGAAAUUAUUUUCUUAUUUUGUACAGCUGGAGCCGUUUUCUCUAAUUAGCCUUGUUGAUUUUUGCCUCUAAAAAACCAUUGCCUUGUACAUAGAAUCAUGAUAGCGUGAUAGGAAUACUAUAUAAUUGAAAUUUGAAAGUUUGCUGCUCAGUUAGGUUUGGAUUUUAAUCAUUUGAAUUUAGUCAAUUUGUAUUGCUUGAUUCUCAUUUUAUAAUAAAUUGAUUUUAAUCAUUUUUAGUACAUUAAUUGUUGAUAAUUAGUUGUUUGAUUCUCAUUUUAUAAUAAAUUAAUUUUAAUCA